CUUCCGCUGCUCCAGAUGAUUUGCUUGUUCUUGAGCAUCGUGUGAAUGGAUCCACACAGCAUCUACUCUUUGUGUCUGGCUUCGCUCACCCAAUCCAUGCAUCUACCACAAGCCCUGGCCUAGAAAAGGCACCCAACGUUGGCACCUGGAAUGUGUGUUGGAUGAAUGUCUAGUAAUGGAAUGAGGAGUUGGAGGAAGAUACUGGAUACAUGCUUAUCAGAUGGGUGCGGAAAGUAAAGCCGGGAAGGCUGGCAGAGCCACAGAGCAUGGGGCUCCACCUUGUCUCCCUUAAACACAAAUAUGAUCCUUCCUGUCCAAGAGCGCAGCCCCGCCCUGCGGCUCCCCGCACCCUUGGCUACGGGACUUUCUCCAGCUCUCCCCUCUGCAUUGUCAAAACGGCAACAGACUGCGCAGAAGGAACGCGUUUGGUGCUGAGACCAGAGCCAGGGCAAUACGAGGCAGAUCCAGACAAUCUGCUCUGUUCCUCCCAAGGAGAGAGGAGAGGCUUUUAUUACUUGCUGACAAUUAAGUCAGCAAUGGGAAAAUCUCUGGGUGACCAAAGCUAAGCAAAGCAAGAGACGUACAUCAUGCACUGAUGCACCUUGAAAAAUAAAAA